rnacentral:rRNA from 1 species
CACGUAGGGGACGAGCGUUGUCCGGAUUCAUUGGGCGUAAAGCGCGCGUAGGCGGCCCGGAAAGUCGGAUGUGAAAACCCGGGCUCAACCCCAGCGUGCACUCGAUACUCCCGGGCUGGAGGCAGGUAGGGGAGAUCGGAAUUCCUGGUGUAGCGGUGAAAUGCGCAGAUAUCAGGAGGAACACCGGUGGCGAAGGCGGUUCUCU